CAACUGUUGCAGUUGUGAAAUUUGAAUUGGAAUAGUACCAUUAAGCUUGUUCAUUUGAAGUUUAAGGACUUGAAGAUUGCUAAGAUUACCAAGUUCUGGUGGCAAUGCACCAGUCAAUUGGUUAUCAGCCAAAUUCAACAAGGCCAAUUUCUUACAAGAACUUAAUCCAGGAGGUAUUAAACCUGUCAAAUUAUUUUUUUCCAGCUCCAUAUAUGUCAAACCAUGUCCGGCUUCACCGCAAGUACCUGAAGGAACCUCUCCUGUCAAGAAGUUUUCCCCCAAUCUCAACCUGACUAAACUAGGAGAAAUAUUUCUAGGUACAGGCCCUUUUAACAUGUUAUUGGACAAAUCUACUAGCACUAUCUGUGAUGGAGAUAAAAGGCCUUCUGGAAUUGACCCGGACAAAUCAUUAUAACUAAGAUCCAAAUAACUGAGGAAUUUUGUAAUUCCAAGAGGAAUAGCACCAGUAAAACUAUUUAGAUUAGCUGCAAAUCUUACUAGUGUUGUGAUACUCAUGAGUGACAUUGGGAUAUUGCCACCAAGAUUAUUAGAGGAAAGACUCAAUGUUUCCAAUUUGGACAGAUUUCCAAUAUCUAAAGGAAUAGACCCUGAAAGUAUAUUUGACUUAAAAUCAAUCAUAGUCAAAUUUUUGUAGCUCAAAAUUUGAUCAGGGAUUGUUCCUUGAAAACUAUUGUUUGAAAGCACAAGCUCCUCCAAAACCAUGGAGCUUCCAAGUUUAGUAGGAAUUUUUCCAAUGAAGUUAUUGUAACUGAGAUUCAAAAUCUUGAGACUAACCAUUCCAUCUAACUGCAUACUAAUGUUUCCGCUCAAAUUAUUGAAAGACAUGUCAAGUGUUUCCAAUUCAGGAAAACCAUGAAAAGAAGGCAAAAAACCACUUAACACAUUUCCACUGAAAUUUAAAAGCUUUAAACUCUCAAUUUUUCCACAUGCAGAAAUAAACCCAUCUGGGAUAGAGCUCAGUUGGUUCUUAGAAGUAUAGAUAGCAAAUAAAGAAGAAAAGUAUUAGGAGUGUUCAUCACUUCACACUUGCACAGACAACAUAAAAAGCUGGCUGUGUCUUAAAUCUUAAUUGUUGAACUUGACAUGGACUUGGACUGAGUCUGACUGAACACGCCACUAAUCACUCGUUUGCAACCAUUUUCUAACUCAACUUGGAAAACACGUAUCAACAUUAACUUUCCAUGCCAUGAAGUAUGAGAAGAACAAGAGUGAACAUGUGAAGCAUGUAAAAACACAUUAAUAAGAUUCAAUUUAUUGUCCUAACUAGGGUCGUUCAUAUAAAAAUUGGAGGUCUGACUCUUAAAGUAAAUUGUUAAAGAGUACCACAUCGGACAAAAUAUUGUCAAAUUUUUUCUGAAGUGAGAAUCAAAAUAUCUUAAAUCAUUGCUCCCAAGUCCAGUAUCCACGUAGAAUCACUAAAGCAAUUAAAAACAAAUAAAUGAGCUUGAAGAGACAUUAAAAGAAAUACCUUGAGCAUUAGAUGAAAUAUGAAUUUGAUUAAUUGAGUGUUCACCCUUUAAGAUGGAGGUUGCUUGUAGCAACAUAUGUGGUUGAAUACUGAGUUUAUUUAAAAGAUCCAUCAAUUGCUUAGUGACCUCCUGAUAACAACGGAGCCUGCAAAGUGCAAACUGUUCAACAACUUCAGAUUUGUUACCAUCAAUUUCUUCAAUAACAGCAUUGGCACUAGGCCUACCAUUGCGCUUGAAACCAACUGAAACACAGCAUUUUGUUUAGAUUAAGAGGUGUGAUAUUGAUGUUAGGUUUGUGUCUGAAAAACAUUUUUGUAUCACAAUUAGUAUAAUAACCAUAUUUAGAGAUACUCGACCUCAUUUUCUUAUAUUGAACCUUUUUAGUUGAAAAUCCUACAUAGUCUGAGUUAUUUGUUCAGAAAUUUUAUAGGAUACAUGUACAAAAAAACUUGGUCAAUUUUAUACUCCCAAGCUGCAUUUUCGUCCAGCAAAUUAUUAGGUAUUCAUUUUUAUUGAAAUUUAAGAUGAUGAUGAUGAUUUGUUUUACCUAUCUUAUGAAUUAUGAUGAUAUUUGUAUAUAUGAAUUGCGAACUGCCCAAGCUCGUUUUAUUUAAAUUAAAUGAGCUAAGAGUGUUUGGUUCGAUGCAAUUAUACAACUUAAUAAAGAACAACUAAAAUCAUGUUACUUUGAUUUGGUUGUGCUGUAUCUAUAUUUAAAAAAAAUAAAAACUGUCUUGAAAUUGAAAAGGUAAGUCAGAUCCUAAACAAAAUGUAUACUAUCUUUAUAUUUACAACAAAAUUUUAAAAGUAUUAAUUAUACAUAUGACCAUAUGAGCUAAAUAUCGUGACUAGCAAACUAGUUCGCUUUUACAUGACUGCAAUACCGUGAUUAGCAAGAAAAGCAUAAUUUAUACAGCACCAUAGACGGAUUGUGCAAAAUUCGUCCUAUUUGAUGUCUUACAUCUUCUUUGUAUAAAUUCAAUACACCACGCAAAACAAAAUCUAUGUAGAUCCAAUUUAGCCCUCGAGAGUGUGAUUUUAUCUGGCAUUCAGCAACAUCCGUAGCACAGUCUUCAUCUUUGGUCUUGUAUCAGAGGAUGAGCUUACACAAACAAGAGCAAUCUCCAGAAUUGCAAGCAUUUGGUUUCUAACAGCCUGUGAUGUUCUACUAACGUUCAAAUCAAGAAUGAUAUCAUGAUUUCUUGAAUUACGUAAAACCCACUUCACCAAUUCAGUUCCCUCAGUUACUGCAGGUCUGCCUGUUAGCAACUCUAGUAGAAUGACACCAAAGCUAUACACAUUCCCUGCCAUCGUUACUCUCAUUGUGUAUGCAUAUUCUGCCAAAUCAACAAACAAAAAUAAUUUAGAUCUUUGAACGAUUCCAGGACCUAUGCCUACUUAACAGCUUCACUAGGGACAUGUUAGGAUAAACGUUUUAAUUAAGCACUUAUAGAAUAAACACUUAUCAUGUACGUGUUUAUGUACAAACUAUUUCUAUCCCAAAAGAUAAACUAUCAGACUGUUUUCAUAUAAGCUUUGAGCCAUUUUCAUAAGCUAACAUGGAGAGCUUAUGAAAAUAGGCUGAAAAUAGAUUAUGAACAUGUCAUAAGCUGUUUCCAUAAGUUCUUCUAAAUAAUCUUACAAAUGCUUAUGGAUUUAGACUAAUAAGAAGGAAAGUGAAAUAGUUUCUGACCUGGAGGAAUGUAACCAACAGAACCAGCAACUGCAGAAAAACUCCCAGUACUCUUUGAAGGAUCGAUCAACUUGUAGUGUUCAAUAUCACCAACCAGAGGCUCCUUGAGUGAUUUCAGCAUAAUACUUUUACUUGAUAAAUCAAGGAGAAGUAUUGGACCAGAGGAAAAUCCAUGCAGGAAAGACAUACCUUGAGCCACACCAACAGCUAUACUAUAUCUGCUCGCCCAAUCUAAAGAGUUUUCCAUGCUUCCAUGAAGUAUAUCAAAGAGAGAGCCAUUCGAUAGAAACUCGUAUAAUGUAUAAGCAUUGUUAGUGGACACAAUAUAGCCUAGAGGAAUCAUCACAUUUGAAUUGUUCAACUUUGCCAAUGCAUCUAGCUCUUUCCCAAAUUUAUCAAGACUACUCACUGGAAAUACCUUGUCACACCAGUUCAGCUUCUUGGCGAAGUAGAUUGAACCAGAUGGCAUGACAGCCUUAUAGUAAGUUGAAAACUUGGUUUUCAGAGUAACGUUUGACGUUUCGGCAACAGCUUCCAUGGCCUUAGACAAAUCAAUGUUUGAUCUGUGGAUUCCAUUUGGUGUUAACAAAUUACUCUGAAGGACCUGAGGAAGGUCAAGAUUUUCACCUUCACUUGACUGUACUCGUUCAUCGUUAACCUUGCAAUAGUGUCGUGAGAUCAAUACAACCAGCAGGGUGACCAUGCCAACCAGAAAAAUAGCAGCAGCAAUUGCAAUAAGAACAGCGGCAACAACAGAUUUCCCUUUCUCUUUUGUUCUUGGACAAUUGUCGGGUGAGACAUUACUACUGUUUCUGACAUUGUUUCCUCCUAUAUCAACUUUAACGUAUGAACCAAAUGCUGGAAGAACACCUGAUAGAUGAUUGUUUGAAAGUUGCAACUGUGUCAAUGCAACCAUUUUAGUUAGAGACGGAGGAAUCUCACCGGAGAAGCUGUUAUUUGAGAGGUCCAAAAUUUCUAGGUUAACCAAAUCAGCAAAACUACUAGGAAUAGCUCCACUAAACUGAUUGCUGCUGAGAUUCAAUGCAAUCUGUAGAUUCAAAGGCAUUUUUGGAAUAUCCCCACUUAACUUAUUUUCUCCAAGUUGGACUUCCAUAAGUUUUCCCAAGUUUCCAAUGGACGACGGUAUAGACCCGUUGAGAUUGUUCCCUUGCAAGUCAAGAAGUACAAGGCUGUUUGACAUCUCAGAUGGAAUUGGUCCAUGCAGAGAAUUCAGGCUCAAAUUCAGGGUAGACAACUGUUGCAGUUGUGAAAUUUGAAUUGGAAUAGUACCAUUAAGCUUGUUCAUUUGAAGUUUAAGGACUUGAAGAUUGCUAAGAUUACCAAGUUCUGGUGGCAAUGCACCAGUCAAUUGGUUAUCAGCCAAAUUCAACAAGGCCAAUUUCUUACAAGAACUUAAUCCAGGAGGUAUUAAACCUGUCAAAUUAUUUUUUUCCAGCUCCAUAUAUGUCAAACCAUGUCCGGCUUCACCGCAAGUACCUGAAGGAACCUCUCCUGUCAAGAAGUUUUCCCCCAAUCUCAACCUGACUAAACUAGGAGAAAUAUUUCUAGGUACAGGCCCUUUUAACAUGUUAUUGGACAAAUCUACUAGCACUAUCUGUGAUGGAGAUAAAAGGCCUUCUGGAAUUGACCCGGACAAAUCAUUAUAACUAAGAUCCAAAUAACUGAGGAAUUUUGUAAUUCCAAGAGGAAUAGCACCA
rnacentral:lncRNA from 1 species